rnacentral:rRNA from 1 species
UACAGAGGUCUCAAGCGUUGUUCGGAUUCAUUGGGCGUAAAGGGUGCGUAGGUGGCGAGGUAAGUCAGGUGUGAAAUCUCGGAGCUCAACUCCGAAACUGCACUUGAUACUGCCGCGCUCGAGUACUGGAGAGGAGAUUGGAAUUUACGGUGUAGCAGUGAAAUGCGUAGAUAUCGUAAGGAAGACCAGUGGCGAAGGCGAAUCUCUGGACAGUUACUGACACUGAGGCACGAAGGCCAGGGGAGCAAACGGG